AAACUACUCCUUCCGUCCCAAAAUAAGUGUCUCAACUUUGUACUAACUUUAGUACAAAGUUUUUCUAACGUUGAGACACUUAUUUUGGGACGGAGGGAGUACCAU
rnacentral:pre_miRNA from 1 species